CGCGUAAUUUCCUAAGAUGGUUGAUAUGCUCCUUUUAAAAUUUUCGACACGUUGUGGCAAAGGUCUCCCAAUAUGAAAGUUUUUCAGCGGAGACUACGAACCAUUCAGGGAGGAAUUUCGAUACCUUUAUGAUUGUAUUUAAGUUCAUCUUUGAAUGACAGCCAAGGUCUGCCUAUGCUUAAUUUUCCAUAAGUCAUCUGACUGAAAUUGAGAAUUUUGCGGAUACUAUCGUGGCUCAUUCUAAUGACAUGACCAACCCGUCUGAGCUGUAACUAGAU